rnacentral:lncRNA from 10 species
CCCCGAGCUUGCAGUCCGCGCCGCGGCUGUGUCUGCCUGCUUCCCCCUGCGUGGCCGGCCCUCUCAUUUCCAUCAGUGUCUGGCGUCGGGUUUCCUGCAGGAAGAGCUGGUACCCCUGGAUCGGGCAGCUUGAGACGAGUUUAACAGAGAGGCUAUUUACAGAGGACAGCCCCCCAGGGCAGGGAGAGCACUCGGAGGGGCCAGCAGGAGGCGUCCGGCUCAAGGUCUUCAACGCCACCUUUUAUGAUGAAAGUGUCCUUGAAUGAGAGAGUGGUGGGCAGUGACGCACGGCUUUGUGAAUAGCCUGUCAAGCACCGAGCUGCAAACUUUAACAUGGAGAAUUUUACGGCAUGUGAAUUACUUCUCCAUUAAAAAACCUUUUUUUUUUUUUUGAAAAUCACCUUUUUAAUGAGUGAAGACUUUCCUGGCUACAAGAUCCACCAUCUUGGCCCGACCCCUGACGUUCCCUGUCCUUCUUCACAGCAUCUUUCUUCUCCUCAGUGGCUAUCAUGGGACGUGCCAUAUACAGGCCUCCUCCUCUAGCACGCAGCCUCCAUAAGGGGCAGGGCCUGCGGGCUGUUUGUCCCUGCUGUAUGCCCAGUCCCUCAGCACAAGGAAAUAAAAAUGUGAUUGGAAUGAAGGAGGGAUUGAAAGGGGGGUGAUUCUGGGUGGAGGUGAGGGCGCUUGGGCCAAGUCCUGCUUGUCUCCGCCUCCGCUCUCUGGGGCCUUUGAACAGGAGCCCCAGGGCCCCAGGGUCAGUUUGGAAACCCCCAUGUAGCCAGGCAAAGGCUUUCAUUUCCCGUUCAUUUUACGAAUGUGUCUCCGGCGGCUCAUUUCAUCUUCAAGUGACACAGGACAUCACGAAGGCCUUCUGUGGUAUUUGUACGCCACUAUUCAUUGCAGUGUGAUUCACGACAGCAGAAGGUGGGAGCAACCCGGGUGUCCACCACGGAUGGACAUGGAUCAUGGAUAAAUCCAAGUGUCAUCAAACAAACAAAACGUGGUAUUGCACAUGAUGAACUAUUAAGAGGAAGGAAAUCCUGACACACGCUACAACAUGGAUGAACCUUGAGGACAUUAUGAGUGAAAUAAGCCAGUCACAGAAAGACGAAUACUGUAUGAUUCCAUUGAUACGUGGUUCUCAGAUUCACAGAGACAGAAAGCAGAAUGGUGGGUGCCCAGGGCUGGAGGAGGGAGCAGUGGGGAGUUAGUGUUUAGUGGGUGCAGAGCUUUGGUUCUGCAAGGUGAAAAGGGUUCUGGAGAUGGAGGGUGGUGGUGGUUUCACAAGCGCAUGAAUGUAUUUAGCACCACUGAGCUAAAACAUGCUUACGAUGGUACAUUUUGAGUUACGUGUAUUUUAGCACAAUGUUUUAAAAGAAGAGAGAAAAAAGAGGUGUGUGGGGGGUGCUAUAGAGCUGCCCGGGGCAAAACCAGGAGUCCAGAACCCUCCCAACUUCCUCAUCCCCCAGAGACUGCUUCCCAUUCUUCACACAUCCAUCGCUCCAAAAUGCCAGUCUGGCUGGAUUGCAGAGCUUUGAAAGGGAGAGUGCAUUUCAGACUCCUAAUGCCUUUCAUCAUGGCCCAGGCAAUUUUUUUUUCUUUUUUUUGAGACGGAGUCUCACUCUGUCGCCCAGGCUGGAGUGCAGUGGCGCGAUCUCGGCUCACUGCAAGCUCUGCCUCCCGGGUUCAUGCCAUUCUCCUGCCUCAGCCUCCCGAGUAGCUGGGACUACAGGUGCCCGCCACCACGCCUGGCUAAUAUUUUUUUUUUUUGUAUUUUUAGUAGAGACCGGGUUUCACCAUGUUAGCCAGGAUGGUCUCGAUCUCCUGACCUUGUGAUCCGCCCACCUCGGCCUCCCAAAGUGCUGGGAUUACAGGUGUCAGCCACCGCACCCGGCCAGCCCAUCCAAUUUUUACUCAACAAGGGAGGAGGAAGUGAGAAAUAAGGUCAUUAAACAAAAUGGUCUUGCUUGAACAUGUGCCUCCUGCAACUACCCACACACACAUGGGCACACACAUGCACACGCACGUCUCCCCACCAUCACUAAGAAAUGCAGCUUGAAUCCAGAUGGUAAACAAGCUCAUUAGCCUAGCAUCAACCUAGAUUUGCUGGUGCAGUCUCCUGCCUGCGGGACGUCAGGCCUCCAAAUUGUACCUUCUGCCUGGAAAGUCUGAAGCACAUCAAAGCCCGGGAGCAGAGGGCAGCGGGCUAAUUAGACGCUGCCCAGGCAGGCAGCCGCUGGGAGGCUGUGCGAAGAGGCGGUCUGCCAAAGAGUGGAUCCCUGG